rnacentral:rRNA from 1 species
ACGUAGGGACUGAGCGUUGUCCGGAAUCAUUGGGCGUAAAGAGCGUGUAGGCGGCCACUUAAGUCCUGCGUGAAAUCUUGCGGCUCAACCGCAAGCGGUCGUGGGAAACUGGGUGGCUAGAGUGCGGGAGAGGAGAGUGGAAUUCCUGGUGUAGCGGUGGAAUGCGCAGAUAUCAGGAAGAACACCCGUGGCGAAGGCGGCUCUCUGGAACGCAACUGACGCUGAGACGCGAAAGCGUGGGUAGCAAACAGGA